rnacentral:misc_RNA from 1 species
UAAUAAGUGUUUUAUGGCACUUUUUAAGUCCAUAUCCACCUUGUGUGCAAUGUCAGUCGAUCUUCUUCAUGGAGAUCGACCAAACAUCAACCUUUAUUUUUUAACUCUUUGUCUGAAAAAUAUUAUGAAUAAACAAUUCAAAAUA